CACUAGGCUUCUCUGGGACCUGCAGGCUGUGGCGGUCUCCCUUCCUAGCCUGGGAAGAGCAUUUUCUUGUUUAUUGGCAAAGCUGUCACCAUUUAAUUGGUAUCAGUUUCUGACUUGCACAAGUAACAUUC